rnacentral:rRNA from 1 species
GACGAACGCUGGCGGCGUGCUUAACACAUGCAAGUCGAACGGAAAGGCCCUGCUUUUGUGGGGUGCUCGAGUGGCGAACGGGUGAGUAACACGUGAGUAACCUGCCCUUGACUUUGGGAUAACUUCAGGAAACUGGGGCUAAUACCGGAUAGGAGCUCCUGCUGCAUGGUGGGGGUUGGAAAGUUUCGGCGGUUGGGGAUGGACUCGCGGCUUAUCAGCUUGUUGGUGGGGUAGUGGCUUACCAUGGCUUUGACGGGUAGCCGGCCUGAGAGGGUGACCGGCCACGUUGGGACUGGGAUACGGCACAGCCUCCUACGGGAGGCAGCGGUGGGGAAGAUUGCACAGUGGGAGGGAGCCUAGUGCAGCAACGCCGCGUGCGGGAUGACGGGCUGCGGGUAGUGAACCGCUUUCGCCUGAGACGAGGCGUGAGUGACGGUAACGGGUAAAGAAGCACCGGCUAACUACGUG